rnacentral:lncRNA from 1 species
AUGGUAGACUUAUUUAAAAACAAACAAACCACUCUUCCAGUACCUUCUCACAUGUUUGCUUCUUCAGGCUUCAACUUAUUAGAUGUUGUUAAAUUGCUUUCCAGAGUGGAAAUUUACACAGAGUACCAAUGUACACACUUAACAAUCAGGACAUCAGAGCUGAGGUUGCUCCAUUGCCAAUACCUGGUAUUUUCGCCGGUCUGCAGCUUGGCUGCUUCUCCAGGCCCUACUCACGGCCUCAUCUGUCCCAACCCCUCUCCUGGGACCUUCCAGAUCCAGCAGCUAAGAAGUCGUGCCUGUGUGGCGCUUUUAGCCAAGCCAUUCCGUGGUGCCGCUGCCUUGACGUCCAUGUUGUUUGGCCAAGGCACCUGAAACCGACCCUCGGCCUCAUGCAGCCCCCUUGCUCAUCCUGCAGCCUGAACAGCCCCAAUGCUUCCCCAUGUGGCCCUGUGUGACAUGGUGUGCCCCUUCCUCUUGAAAACUGUGAGUAAUAAACCUUUCUAUCAAAGCCCUUCUCUGGGUCUGUCAACUGCCU